CUGCACCUGGCCAAAUGUGCAUUUUUAAGGUUAUCACCACAGAUUGAUUGGCAUGAGCUCAUGUGCCAUCAGGUGCAUGAAUCAUCCAACAGGACAAACAGCUGGCACAUGGUGGGUACUCCAUACAUAUCUGAUGGAUAAUGAAUGAACCUCUUAACUGCCGUCUGGCCCAGAACUGACCAGGUGGUAAUCAGUGGUCAGUGAGGUGCAACAUGAACUGGGCCCUCUCUGCUUCCCUCCCUUUUCAUCCUGCCUUAUUGAGAUACAAUUCAUAUACCAUAAAAUCCAUCCUUUUAAAGUGUUAUAUGGCAGAUGCGGUGGCUCAUGCCUGUAAUCCUAGCAUUUUGGGAGGCCGAGGUGGGCGGAUUGCUUGAGGUCAGGAGUUCAAGACCAGCCUGGCCAACAUGGUGAAACCCCAUCUCUUCUAAAAAUACAAAAAAAAAAAAAAAUUAGCCAGGCGUGGUGGUGUACGCCUGUAGUCCUAGCUACUCAGGAGGCUGAGGCAGGAGAGUCACUUGAACCCAGGAGGUGGAGGUGGUAGUGAGCCGAGAUUGCACCACUGUACUCCAUCCUGGGCAACAGAGCGAGACUUCGUCUCAAAAUAAAUAAAUAAAGUGUUAUACUUCAGUGGUUUCUGGUAUAUUCUCAGAGUUGUUCAAACAUCACCACUAUCUAAUUUCAAAACAUCUUAUUGCCCCAAAAAAGAAACCCUGUACCCAUUAGCAGUCAUUCCCCAAUCCCUCCUCUGCCCAGCCCUGGCAACCACUGUCUACUUUCUGUUCUGUGGAUUUGGAGUAGAAUCAUAUAGUAUGUGGCCUCUUGUGACUGGCUUCCUUCUCUUGGCAUGAUGUUUAAAGGUUCAUCUACAUUGUAGUGUGUGUCAGGAUUUCAUUUCUUUUUGUGGCUGAAUCAUAUUCCAUGGUAUGCAUGCACCACAUUUUGUCUACGGAUAUUUGAGUUGUUUCCACAUUUUGGCUAUUAUUAAUGCUGCUAUACACAUUUGGCAGAGUGCAGUGGCUCACACCUGUAAUCCCAGCACUUUGGGAGGC
rnacentral:lncRNA from 1 species